UGGUGCGUGUUAAAAACUGCAAAAUCUUUAAAAAUGCGUUUUGUUGAUUGUGAUUUAAAAAACCAACUGCCAACUAAACGCGAUAUUAUUAAUUUCGGGUUAUAUCUUCGCCAUAGAAGUGAUCGGCGUAGAAAGUUGGGAGUUUAUAAGCAAGAAAUUUUAAGAAAUUUUAAUGUGAGCGGAACGAAAAAAAAAUAUAUUGCAUUGGGAUAGAUUCGAAACCGGCUGAACCACCAUGCUUGCAGUUCUUCGCGAAAGAUCACCUCGAAGCAUUACAAUAUACCAAUGAAAUAAUUGAAUUACCAGCAUGUCCUUGUCAUUCCCAAAAUACCGAGCGAUUUGUUCAUGCAGUUCAUGAAUCUGCAAUGGCGGUCACCGAUGAACAACGCAUGGGACACAUUUUAUCUAAGCUCGAGAGCCGGCAGAAAUACAGCAAGCUUGAAUCCCGACAAAAUUUUGUGGACUAAAAUUUCCGUUACAAGACAAACAAUUCACUAACUGUUUCGCGAGCGAGGAAAAUAAAUAAAAUUUACUUUUUCUUGU